rnacentral:rRNA from 1 species
UACGAAGGGGGCUAGCGUUGCUCGGAAUCACUGGGCGUAAAGGGUGCGUAGGCGGGUCUUUAAGUCAGGGGUGAAAUCCUGGAGCUCAACUCCAGAACUGCCUUUGAUACUGGGAAGCUUGAGUCCGGAAGAGGUCAGUGGAAUUGGGGGUGUAGCGGUGGAAUGCGUAGAGAUCCCCAAGAACACCAGUUGCGAAGGCGGCUGACUGGACACAUAUUGACGCUGAGGCUCGAAAGCAUGGGGAGCAAACAGG